UUUAAUUAUGCCGUCCUCUCGCAUGAUUUAAAUCACACAGACAUGUUCUCUAUCAAGAAAACAACUGUAAAGAGACGAGUGGGGAGAAUGUGUCGUAAAAACUUCUUGCCAAAAGUAAGUAUAUUCACUGCACACAUCUGCCUUAAGAAACUGAUUCUUAGAAACAACAAUUUGAUGAAGUAUAAAAGAGUUUAGCCAAAGGUACAGUAAGGGAAAGAACAAGAAAGAAAAACAAGAAGGCUGUGUUUGGACAGGGUUCAUGAAGAUCAGCCCAAGCACUGAAAAGGUACAGUAGACGAACACCAUUGUAAGACUCCAAUGCAGGAUGAAGGCAAGCGAAACCACCAACCUGAAAUUAUAACUUCAAGGAAUUUGUUCGCACCGACUCAUGAGCUGUAAAAGUGAGUUAGCUUUCCUUUGGGCUCUGCUGUUUCCGCUCUUUGUAAUCUCAAUCAAAUGCUCUAACACACCAUACUGAAGUGCAGCCAAAAUGAAAGAGGAAUUGCUAGACCCCAGCUCAAGAAGAACCGAUGUGGCGCAUUCUUUGUUCUUGGUGGUCCCAUCUCUGAUAAACUCAACAAGAGUUUCAAUGACUGAGAGCUGUCCAAUCUCUUGCCGCCCGUCCGGAUGUGAUGCCAGGAGGAACAAGAUAGAGAGGGCCUCGUCAAUCAUGCCCGAGUUUGGGCUCUUAAUUAACUGGAGUAAAGGUGGAAUAACACCAGCCUCAAUGGCCCUGGUCUUAUUUGCCUUGUUGAGAGAGAGGUUAAAGAGUGCUGUGGCAGCAUCCCUUUUGCCUCUGAUUGUCCCAUGCUGCAACAAAUCCACCAACGGCGGGAUGCCAUUAGAGAGCCCGAUUGCUGCUUUAAUAUCAUCAUCUAUCGACAAACUGAAUAAUGCCGCUGCAGAGUUCCCUUUAGCCUCAACGCUUCCUUUCCGUAGGACAUCUAUUAUAGCUGGAAUGGCUCCUUCUAUAGCAAUGAGUUUCUUGUUGGCCUCAUCAAUUGACAAGUUCAACAGAGCUGUUACAGUGUGCUCUUGAAUCUUGGAAUCUGGAUAGGACAGGAGUUGCACUAAUGGUGGGAUUCCUCCACUCUGGGCAAUCAGAACUCGGUUCACUGGAUUCUCUUUCGAGAGCAUUCGGAUCUUCUUCGCUGCUUUUCUCUGCACUUCCAAUUGAUUAGAGGAUAGGUUUUGAACCACAGACAAGACAGACUCUUUCUGCUCAGAGGAGCCCUCAGUGCUUGAAGAAGCAUCCUUUUUGGGAAUUUGAAAAUUAUUGUUCUCACACCACUGAAGGAUCAGGUUUCUGAGGGCAUAGUUUGGCACAAGCGAGGAGUGAACCAAAGGUUGCAUUGUCUUUGGACAGGUUUUAUGGUUGGAGUCCAACCACUUCUGUAUGCUUUCUCUUUCAUAUGUCUUCAGUGGAUAACAAAGACAAACAUACUGUUAGUUUCCAUGGCAAUACAUGAUGACUGAAAGAAAUACAUUUGCUUCUUCUAAGAUGUAGUUCCUAAAACUAAUUUCUAUGAGUUGGCAAAUGUGAGAUCACCUGUCCAGUUGCUACAAAAACAGGAUCAGUCAUUAUUUCUAAUGUGAUUGGGCAGAGGAACUCAUGAGGGAUAGCCAAAGAUGGGGAUUUCUCAAGAGUUUUGGGCACAAUGGGAUCAUCAAGCACAUUGAUCUCUUCAAGCCCUCCACUUUGUCUGAAUUUAUUCAGAAGUUCAAUCACAUGCUGGGUACUCUCUGCAUUUUGUCCUCCUCUUUCUUUCACAAGUUUUCUUACAGCUAUUGUUUCUGCAUUCAAGUCCUCAACUGUAAGCAGUUCCAGCUUCUUUGCCAGCCUCACUAUUAUUGCACUAUCCGCAUUCCGUUCAUCGUCUUUUGAGAAUACCACCAUCAUAUCCAUUGCAAGUUCAAUAUCCUGAGUGUCUGUUCGCCUCUUGGAUCGUUUGAGGUGCAUGCGCACUAAAUCAAGCUGAAUGAAUGAAUGAAUAAACUCAACUCACAAUCUGAGUGAAAAGAACUUAUCGCAGAAAGUUAAAACACUUUACUACCAAUUUUCAAACCAUUGCAUGUUUAGUGAAAACUUUUGGCUUAAACCCGUUCUUUGCUCAGAUGCAAAACCACGCCCCAUUCGAGCCUCUCAGGCAAUUUUUUAUAAAUUUUUUUUUAUAAACUCACUCGCUUUGGAACUUCCAUUCUUCCAGCAGUUCCAAGUCAUUUUUCUCUCUCUAAACAUGAGAUUUCCACAUCAUAAUAUGGUGCAAAACUACAAAAAUGUAAGUUAAUAUUUCAGUGUUAUGCUAAUAAAAGCAGCGCCAGAUUAAAAAUCGUGUCUGUGCACGGGAUAAUCUCAAGAGACGAGGCACAAAGAGCAAGAAAAAGGAAAAAAUAUAUUUAAAAGAAGGGAAAGAAGAAGAGUGCACACCUCUUCUUUUACUUCCUCUGAGACUCCAAGCUCUUCAUAAGGCAAAUCUUCCAAAGCUUGACUUAAUUUUUCAUUGGCACGAUGAAAUCUAGCCAUGACUGCUUCAUUCUCAAGUGCCUGAAUCAGGAUACGCAGAAAAAUAAGCAAUAAAAAUCUCAACCCCUAAUAAUAUUUCAAAAUAAACCAUGUGUCCGUUUAUUUCAUUUUGCUAUGAUUUGUCGGGAACCAAUCAGAGCGCUCACAUAUUAAAAAAUGAAAAUAAAAAUAAAAAUCCCUUACCAGAUAAAUCUUGCUUCCCUCACUGCAAGUUAUCAAGAGUUUCUUGACACGUAGAAGCGCCUUCUUCAAAUUCCAGAAUGGAUUUAAAGACUUCUCGGGAACUUGGCCAUGGAGGUCCUUUACAUCUUCUAAAAGCGGCAACAAUAACUUCAACCGCCUUACUAGGUUUUGGCACUCCUUCUUCUGCGUCCUCCUAUAAUCUCCAAUGGCUACAAUGGACCCAAUCACGACCAUCAGUUCUUGAACCUCACAGGUGCACCCUUGAGUGUUGGACGCAUUGGGAGCAGUCUCCUCCUCCCCAGUCUCCACCACUUGUCCUCCUCCGCCUUCUUCGACCUCGCCAUCCAUCACCAUUUGCAAACCGAACACACCCCUGUAAUAGUAAGGAUUUUAGAGUAAUGGGAAUCUGGCCAUGCAAGAAAAUUAGGUCUUCUUCCAAAAGGGAAUGGAGAUUUGCCAGAGGGACGAGUGAGAAGAAACGUGAAGACAAAGAAACCCUGGCCCUAAUUUCCAUGGGAUUCAGGUGGCGCCUGUUUCUUGAUGGGGCGUGGAGCCUUUCGCGGGUUUUCAAACGUAGGACUUAUGGUCAUUAUCCAUUUUGAAAGUUCGUUAUUUUCAAACCUACUUCCACACCGUUUGUUCGAUGCGAUUCCCCUGCCUCUCCGUCGUUCACCCUUCUUCUACUUCUUCUUCUUUUUUCCUUAUUUUUUCCUUUAUCCUCUUAAAUUAUUUUGCCAUUAUUUUAAGAAUAAUAAUGCUAUAAAUAACAAGCUUAUAUGUUAUCUAUCAAUUCAAUAAAUUUAAAAUUUAUAAAAAAUAAUUGAAUAAAUUAUUAGAAGCUAUGUGUUUUGAACUUACAUAUUUUCUAAACUCAAAGACAAUACUUGGACAAUUUAAGCCUUUUGAUCUUAUUAAGUCACAAUUCAAGCUACUUAAUCUUGCUAAGUUCGUCUUGCGAUUUAACAAUUAUAAUGCUUAACGAAUACAACAUUUAACUAAGAAAGAAGCUUUGUAUUGUAUAAAAAUACUUUAUAAUGCUAGGAAUCUUUCAAUUUGCUUAAUGUCUUGGUCAAAUGAGGUCACCUUCUAUUUAUAGGUACUCAAAGAACUCUUUGGACCCAUAAAGGUUCUUACAUUUUUAAAGUUCACUAAAACUUCUAUAUAAAUCAUAUAUAUGUAUAUGUAUAAGAUGAUUCUAAAACUUUUUAAAACACUUUACUUUUUUACUCGUUUUCCAUUUCUUAGGUCCAUGUAAGUGUUUCUAGCCUUUCUCACAAUCUUUCAUACUUUUCUACUAGUAGCUAAGUGUAGAUUACUUCAAGAAGAUUCAUAAGCUUCAUGCUCUCCUAUGUAAGCUUAAGAAAAGGUUAUUUGAGUAGGUUGUGACUUACUGUUGAUAUUAAUCAUCAAAAAUAUUUUCUUGAAAUUGACUGUUUAAGAAUUUAAAAAUUCUUUUAGGCCAUGCUAUCUUUCCUUAUUUUAUUUUAUAAUAUUAUUAGUUAGAAGAAACUUUGUUAAACCAAAUAAUAAUAAGUAAUUUGAGAUAUUAUAAAAGAAGGACAAUCAAUUUGAAUUUUUGAAAAAUGAUAAAAUCAUGCCUUUUUUUAUAUAUAUAUAUUCUUACGAAAAAUCAGAUCAAUUAAAUGACAUCAUAUUUGUACAUUGAAGUUUAAUUAUUUUAUACCAAGUUGGAUUUAAUUGCUUUAUAUUUUUAUUCUAUUUUUAAUUUUUUUUAAUACUUUGAUUUCAUAGUCUAUGUAAACAACUUAAAAUUUAUUACAUACUUUUAGCAAAUAAAAAUUUUGGUAAAUACCAAAUCUUAAGUUGAUGUAAUUAUAUUUGUAUUUAUCCUAUCUACUUAGUCCACACUUGAUUUUACUAUUCCUUUUAUAUCUCUAUUUUUAGCAUUGAGUUUAUAAAAUUAUUCUCCAUUUUUAAAAUUUAAAAUGAUUAUUCAAUUAAUAUACUUUUUCUUUUUUUACAAAUCACCCAUCCAUGAACAUUGUCAAGUUGUUCUCACUUACAAAUAAUAAAGGUUAUUGAAUUAACUUAGAAUAUGUUUGGCUUUACAUAACAAAUUUUAAAAAUCAUAUUUGGUAAUCAAUUUUUAUUAGUUAUGGGAGUGGCAUUGAACCACGCCAAAUCAGCUUUUCAAUAUGUUCAAUUAGAGCCAAACCCAACCCAAUGUCAUGUUGAGAAUUCCUAAACCAUGGUAAGGCUAUCAACAUGGCCAAAUAAAUAAAACAAUUCCUAAUCGUCCCUAUCAACAUGUGUGUGUGAGACCCCCUCUGCAAGGCUAUCUUGUAGUCCUUUGCUCUCUCAUGACUAUUUAGGUGGACAAGCCAUUUGGGUGACCAUUUUUAGUUUUAUGGCCCAAUGGCUCUAAGGCCAAGUGACUGAUCUAUCUUAAAGUAGGUCAGACGAACAAAUUUUACGCGGAUACAGCAAGAUUGACACCUUACUGUACUUCAUGCAUUUAUUCACUUAUUAAUGCAUAGAUUGCGUGUCAGACACACUCCAUAUUAAAUCCAAUUGUAACUGAAAAACAUACCAUUCUUAUCAGCUCAUCAAGACAAGACAAUCGUUAUGCAUUGAUAAUCAAUGUUAUAACAUCAAGCAAUCAAGCACAAUUAAAGUACUAUUAAGACACUUGAAAAGACGUUACAUUGUAAUAAGUAUAAAAAACCAUGCAGACUCCAUAAAUGUGAUGCACUUUCUUUUUGACAAAUUCCCUUACUUAAGCCACUUAUUGACUUUAGUAUCGAAGGGGUGUGUCCAGACAAACCAUUUGAACAACCUUUUAUGUAGAUACUGUAGCCGUCUGCAUCUCAAGCGAGCUAGACAGAACCAUUGAUCAUGCCAUUCAUCCGGUUCUUGGAAGCUAGACAAAACCAUUCAUUUGGACCAUGCAACAAUAGUGUGGUUCCACAAUCUCCUUGGAGGAUCCAUUUCUUCCUUCUCAAAAUUAUGCACUACCUCCAUUGCCACGAUAUAGAUCCCAUUUCUAGAAAGAAGAGAUUGGAAUUCUUUCUUCAAUGUUCACAUGAUAGAAGAAGAAGGUAUAUAUACGAGAAUAUGGUAAAUGGUUUAGCAUAGCUUUGGUUCAUGUAAAAGGCUAUGGUGAUUUACAAUCAUGAUCACUUUAUGUGGGGUCUACCCACAAGCUUAGAUUUAUUAUGCUUGCUGCAUUAGAAGAAGUUGUCCAGCAUUGAAGAAACAUUUACUAGAGAGCCUAGAAGUACGCCAAUUUAAAGGACUUGGCGACCCCUCUUUCAAAAGUGGUUGCCCCUGCUAACUUUGGUGGAAGAAUGACUAAUGGAGCUAUGUCAAGGGUAAAAGGAAAGUGACAAAGGGUGGGACGAAACUCUAAUUCUUUGAGGAAGAAAAGACAAUAGUUAGGGUUCUGAAUACAAUAUUAACAAAGUUGAUGGAAUCAUACUCUUUUAAUCUUCAAAGAAUCAUCGAAGUUGUUGGAUUUUGAGUGGCUGCCCUAUCCUUAACGAGACACUUUUAAGAGGGACCCUAUGAAAUAUAUUUUUAUGUUUUUAAAUAUUAUAUUAUACAUAAUAUAUUAUUUUUAAAUUUUAUAAAUAUAAAAUUAUGUAUAAUAUAAUAAAAUCAAGGAAAGGAUAAGAUUUCCGACCUGAUUCCGGUUUUUAAAAUUUUCUCUAUUAUUGAUUUUGAAUUUGAUUUGUUAUUCCUUAUCCUUGUCCCAUUAGUUUAUUUUUACCAACCCUAAUUUUGUUAGUGAAACAAAAUCUUCCAGGAUGUUCCGCAUAUGCAAAGUUAAUGGAAUUACUACUUUGACUAAAGUUUUAGGCAUUUGCAAUCAAGUCAGACCUCACACGUAUCCACUUGGUCAAACCCAUAAUAGACAUCCCCACAACUUCUUGAAAGCAUGGACAUCAAUUGAAGAAAGAAUGUAAGCAUUCUCUUUCUUUAUCUUCUUAAGAAUGUACAAGAAUGAUCGAUAACAUAAUUAUAUUAGGGUGAAUUUGAGAGGGUUGAAUGUUGAAAAAGUGUAAGCCACGUAAAAUUCAAAAAACAAAGCCCUUCUUAGACGGACGCAACCACUCAUGACAGCCACUAUGGCCGCACGAUAGGAAAACUGGAGUUCUCUCUCUUAUAGCUGCCAUGUGUAGAAGCAAGCCUCGUAUGAGGAGUGUAGGUACAACAGUGGAUGAAAUUGGCAAAUCUUAGUGUGCCACUAAGUUGGUGUGAAGGCAAAGUUAGUUGGAUCCGUCUCCUCUUUAUCCCUUCAAAUUAGGGGAACGUGGCAAGUUGCAGAUGGGAAUGCUUUUGAUGGUUUAUAACAGUUCAAAGAAAGGACAUCAAUCAAACAUGUGUAAUAUUUCUAAAAAUUUGAAAAUUUAUUUUUAUUUAUAUUUUUUUUAAUAAAUAAAUAAAAAUAAAAAUAAAAUAACCAAGCAUUGCAAUUAAAUUAGAAGAUUGGCACUUCAUGUUUAAUUUCAACCUUUGGUUUGAACCCACAACAAAUCCAAGAAAAAUAAAUGUGAAAAAACAUAUGAAAAUAUCUAUUAAAUUUUAUUUUCUUUUUGUUUUUCCAACAUUUUCCUUUAAUUUUUCUAGUAACCAAACAAUGGGUUGAAUGAUUGAGAAGGAAUGAAUAAUUCAAAGCAGACAAUUGAAAAUUUUGAACCCCACUCACUAAUGUAGUCCGCGCCAGUAUGUUUUUUUGGAUCAUUGGAGUCUGGACCAACAUCGAUUGAGUGGACCGUCAAAAAUUUACGAAGUUGACCCAUUUUCUCUUCUGAAUCGAGAGACUUUUCUUCAUCAUGUGGGCCACUGGUCAGUUCGAAAGCGGUCUUUGGUGUAACAUAAGAUCUUGCCACGUGGAAAAGGUGGCCCAUUGCAAUGCUGAUGUGGCGAAAUCAGGGUGGAGUGCUGGACUUGCAGACUUGCCGUAUCGUAGGUAGUGAUCCCGCUAUGUGUGCAAGUGCAAAAAAAGGCGUGGGAUGUGGUGUUGGAGCCAAAGCCUUCCCCUUUUGAAAACCUCUUCUUUCUCUCUCUUCAUCCUCUCCAAAUUUACUCAGCGGAACGGUGAUUUUCUCUCUCUAUCUGUAUGAGUUGUGAUUCUGCUGUGUUUGGUUCUGUUGUGCUUGAUUUUUCCGUUUGGUGGCCGAGAAAACUGAGAGAGAGGGGAAAGAAGGAAAAAUAACUUGAAGUUUUACAGUUUCUGCUGUUUUAUUUAUUAUUAUUUUUAAUUUUUUUUUCAGUAAAUCGAACAGUUCGAUUUUACUGAGCAACCAUGUGUUAGCAGAGUUCAUUGCCCCAUUUUCUCGUGAACUGAAGCUGAAACAACGGCAAAAGUAAGUUUCCAAUUUCUUCUCUUUUCCUUGAAUUUCUCGGCGGCCAAACGGGAAAGCAACCGGUUUCAGGUGAAUUGAUGGGGGUUUUACUUUUCCACUUCUAGCUUGUGAAUGGCUUAUAUUGGUAAACUUGGAUAAUUUUUUAUAUGGGUAUGUAGGAGUCGCUGGGAUUCGAUCCCUUCGAGCUAUGGUCGAGUGUUAUUAAAGUUCGGAUUUUUAUGGGCAUUUCUCAUUUAGCUUAUCUAAAUGCUGUGAAAGUGACCUGCUUUGGGUACUCUCCAAUUUGAUAAAUUUGAUUGACAUGUGAACCUAAAUUAAUGGCAGAUUCUUAUUAUUGAGCGCUUCAGAUAUUUGUAUUAAUUUUAUUUAGGAAUCUUCCUUCUUUGGUAUGUAAACGUGUCUGAUAAUUUUUGGAAUGCAUUAAUAGGCUGUGUUUUGUAUUGCUUCUUAUUUGAAAUGAGUCCUUGUUCUUGCGCAUGUAAUAGGAUACCGGGACCUUCGUUAAGAAUUCAAGAAAUGACAUCACUUCAUUUGCUUUGAUCAUUUUGCUCGAGGACUGGGCCUUACUGAACAUUAGCAUGUCUGGUUUAGGUAUAUUGCUUUUUAAGUUUACCAGCAUAGCUUGAGAACUAGUAAUGGACCCUUAGCUGACAUCUGCACAUCUCAUUUAAGUAUCCCCUUUUAGUUUACUGACAUAGCUUGAGUUUGUGGGGAAUUGGCAAGGGGCUGUCAGGAUGCCUAGAGUUGAUAUUAUGCACAUGAACGAGACUUUCUUAAUGGUAUAACCGAUAAAGCAUUAGUGAGCAACGGCACAUUUUGUUUAGGUAUCUGUUUUAGUUGAUGGGCAUGGGCCUAGCUCAAGCAGUAGUUAAUGUUCUUUAUUGUUUAUAUGGUAGGUUUCAUUAUUUAAUUGACAAGUUUCUUUAUUUCUUGGAAUGGAGCUCGCCUUUAAUUUUCACCCUUGCAUAAGGAAUAGAUUACUUAAAAAAUCUUUAUCUAUGGAUCAUGUAUUAGUUUUGUGUUUAGCAUGAAAAAAAUGGUUAUAUGGGUGUUGGUGAUUAGCAUCAAGAAAUUUGGCAGGCAUCUGAUUGUGAAUCUUUGUCCCAUAUGGACCAUUAAUGUAUUCUAAGUGAAUUGCUUUACAAAAAUUGCUUGAUUAUGAGGGUGGUUUUGUUGAUUUUGUCUUUCAUCUUGUACUUAAUAUCUCCAGGCUAGUCCUUUGGCAUUAGCUCUGAGUUGAAUUAGUUCUGCUGGUUCCAAGAAUGAUCAACUCUAAACUUAAUAGCAACAGGCUGGGGGACAAUGGGAGUGGCUUGCCUACUUACCAUAAACAGCCACCUCUAGCAAUAAAAAAGAUACCAUUGAGAGAUGUACAGAAUGAUAACAGGAGUUUGUUACACAGCCAUACUGAAUCGGAGGGAGGUUCCAUUGCAGAUGCUAUUAAGACAUCGGGAACGAAAAGGCUUACACCUGACUGCCCUCAGAGUCCCCCUUGCCAUCAGUUCUUCAGCAGUAAUGGUGCGAAUGACCAUCUUGUGUAUGCGCGUAGAAGAUUUGAGUCAGAACUAGGAAAGAGAAGAAUUCUGGACCUGCCCAACAAAAAUGCUGAUAAUCUUCAUUCAACACAGUUUUGCCAGAAUAUGCAGCAAAUACCCCAACAGCAAACUCAGAUGAAGGAUCGUAAUGCAUAUUGUGCUCCAGCUUUUGCACCAAUUCCUUUGGCCUCUCUAGUGACCUUUGCGUUUGGUGAGCCAUCAGUUCCCCUUUCUAUGGGGAAGCCUAGUAAUGAGUUGCUAGAUGUCGAAUCCAAUUACCUAAAGGUUACUUCUGAGGUUCCUCAUUCAGUUCAUUCAAAGGAAACUGAUGAUCAGCAGAGGAAAGAACGGUUUCUCCGCCUGCAAAAAGUCUUGAAACAGUGUGAUGAAUUUGACCAAAAUGACUACAUCCAAAGUAAGUCAUUGGAUUCCAAUGGAGCCCCUUAUAAAAUUCUGUUAUGUGCUGCUCUCUUUAAUUUUUACAGUCCUGAACCUGCUCUUUGUUUAUGUGUUUUGUUAGUGCUGCGAAGCUUUUCCCCAAGUGAGCUUAGCAGACAUGCCAUUGAGUUAGAGAAAAGAGCAAUCCAGCUUACGGUUGAAGAAGGUAAUAGUAUUUUGGCACCUGCAUUUCUUGCCUUAUUCUUUGAUCACAUCUAGUAUAAUUUUUAGGUUUAGAAUUCUUCUAACAGGGGAAAUUUCCAAAUGCCCUCAGUAAUUUAGUAGAAAUGAAAUCUUAAACAUAAUUUGUCAUUACAGAACUAUAGCUUUACCAAGUUAAGAUGCUCUAUAUGCUACUUGUAUAACAUGGACAGGACUCAGGCUUUUAUCAUUAUGAAAAUAGCAAGCCAAAAAACUGCUUCAUUGGGUAAUCAUUUGGCAUACCACAGGAUUAACAUCUGGGUAUGGCAAUACAUAAUUGGCAUUCAUUUUUGUUUGAUAGAGUAGAGUCAGUAGACAUGGUGAAAUUUACAAGCCAAAAAAAUUGCUUUAUUAGGCAAUCCCACAGGUUUAAAGAGAAUCUUCUUCCAUCUAGAGGAGAUACUCGUUUAUUCAGUAUCAUGAGUAGGACUCCGACCAUAACAUAGUCGACAGAUCCAAGAUGUGCUCUUAAGUGUAUGGCUAACCCAAUAACGAAAGUUUCGCAUACUGAUAUCUGAUUGGCAUUUACUUUUAAUUGAUGGAGUAAACAUGUUGGUGCACACGCACAAGCUACUUGUAAAACUGCUUGACUGAUCUAAAUAUUCGACCUAGAUAUUUUACUUCUCUUUUUUUUUUUGAUCUUUUUCUUUGUUGUGUUAUUAAUAUUUAUCUGGGUCCAAUGAAUGCAUGGUUGUUCUAUCAUGAGUUUCCACAUUGUUAAGUGAAAGUUUAGACAAGCACAUGAAAUGGAUCUCAAGGCUGUCCAAGAUAUAAUGCUUAGCAUUAGGCUUGUAUGUAAAGAAAUCCAUAAAACCAAAUUUGCUGCAAUUAAAGAGCAAGAAAGGCUUUUGUAUUGGAGAAACUUCUGUAACAGAUAUCUAUUUCUUUGUUUCCAAACCACUUGUUUUUCUGUGUCAUUAAAAUAAGGAUUUUUUAGGAUUUUUAUAAAUGAUGGCCUCAUUUCUGUAAAGAUCAUUAUGGCAAUAUCUCCAUAAAAACAGUCCUCUUGAUGAUUCAAUUCACAUAAGAAAAAUAUAAGUUUUCUUAUAUUUUCUCACUGGGUUAUGUUGCCCCAGGAUGGAACAUGGCACAGAGAGGUCAAAACAAUCAAAGCAUUACCGCUCGAAAUGAAUUGUAGUCCUUUCAUCUUGAAAUGGAAAUAUUUCUUUCACAAAAAUUCUACAAAAUAACCGUGCUUGCAAGCUUGCCAAUGCUACUUCUAUUCAGUACCCUUUUACUAACGACUUUUCUGCCCCCUCCUGAAUCCUUUAAUCUAGCUCUUAAGAUAGCCUAUUGUACCAUUAUUUUUUCUGAAUCAUUAAUCUUCCUUCUUUCCCAGUUGGGGAAGUUCUGUUUUUGCAUUAACCAAUGCUGGUGAUAGAUAGCAGUAUGGAAGUUAGGGGCCAAUCUGAUAGAAUGAGCUCAUUGGUUAUCCUCUAUUGCAGGCAAAGAAAUCCAACGGAUGAAGGAGCUGAAUAUCUUGGGGAAAUCUGUACCAAAAAAUAAUCCAUCACCAAUAACUCAACAAGUCCCGGCCAAGAAGUAAACAAGCAGUAAAGAAUCUCGGAUAGAUAUAGUCUGUUUAUUGUGUUGAUCAGCCCAAUGGGUUCGCUUCAUCCGCUUCAGAAAAGAGUUUUAACCUUUAUAUUGUACUCUUUUGACUCCUUUUUUUCUGCAUAAUGAGCCAUUUUUGUAGUUUGGCUAGUGUUUCUGUGAUUGAGCCGUUGAGAAUGUAGUUUCUGAAAACACAAUAAUGGGACGUUUCUUGAAUAAAUCCGAAGUUAUUUUAUGAACCCAGUUUGGGUUUGUGAGUGGGGUUUCUGGGCAAUGCACUAUCGCAUCGAGGUUAUUUGUGGCAUCCUAAGUGUUGAUGGUUUCUAUUUUCAAUUUGGGUUACAAACUUACAACUUAUGUAGUAUCAUUAUCAUCAUCAUCGGACCAAUUGGACAGCGCAGGUGUUAUAGAAGAAGCUGUCAUGAGACUUGACGUUGUCUGAUGAAAAAUUGAUGAGGCCGGUGGAAGCCACAUCAUUGCACCACUUCUUUAGUUUUGGGAAAACAAAAGUACAAAGCAUGAUUAUAACAUGUCUUCCUAAAAUCAUUAUCUCAACCCCUUAAUCGAAGUCUUCUCGUUUUCAUCUUCUCCUGUUAAUUUCUUUUCAAUUCAGGGCUCCCUUCCCCUGAUCCACCUCAACUGAUGGCACACAUCUGGCAGCCAAUAGAAUUCUGCCACAUGAGAAUAUUGAUCUCCUCUUUUCUACAUGUACAUUUGAUUCAUGCCAGUAACUUAUUACAUCUACAUACUAGAUUCCUAGUAUUAAGAAACUGAACAAAAGCUGCUUGAUUAUCAGACAAUUUGGAAAGAUUUAAAAUAAAAAGGGGUUUGGGAAUAUAAUUUUUGUGGUCAGACACAUCAGAGAGACCCCACAGGAUGUUCAAGUGGUCAUUGGCAAGAGAUCCAUUAAAGGUCCAUUAUGGGACAAAGGAGGUCAGUCAUCAUUCUCUCCUUGCUUUUAAACUUGGGAAGUCAAUUAUGGCUUGGAUUAUCAACCUAUGAGCCCCCAACUAAUACGAGCCAUAUGAUGAAAAAGAUGAUUCAUUUUCUCAAUUGCCUUUCCAAUUUUCUUCACCAUAAUCUCAUAAUGCCACAUAAAUGAUAAAACCUCUUUCGAAAAAUGAAAAAAAAAAAAAAAAACAUUCAUGCACUUGGCUUGAAAAAGGCAUUUGAAUAUUUGACUCAAUCAAGUCAUGGGCGAAUGGGUCCAGUGGAUUUGGGCAGAGUUGAAAGCAGGCCAGUGGUUGAAGCUUUCUAACACUGCUUUUACUAGAAGAUAAUCAAAGUCAGUCUAAUAAACAAAGAGCUUGGUGUCUGGUGAGGACAAGGAAAGCCCAUAUAAAUGAUUUGGUCACAUGGGGGUUAGCCUAGGCAGCACCCUUUUUAAUUUUCUCUUAAUGAAUAUGCUGUUUGAGUCAUCCCAAAUAGAAUAAACCCCAAGCUUGGAAAACCUAGCUCACACUUUUUAUAUCCUCAUUACCAAACGACACACAUGAUAGCAUUACACUUCCCGGUGGUGGUGGUGGUGGUGGAGAGAAUGUACAGGCCUCAAAGAGAGAGCUUUGCCAUACAAGUAAGAGCUGAAGCCCUUGAACUCCCUCAACCUAAUCCCAACCCUUCUAGCCUUAACUUCUCUGCCAUGAAGCUCUUCCACCGCUUCCGCAAGAUUCUCAUGCGCUUCUUUUUCUCCUUUCCCUCCCGUGCUGCCUCAUCAGCAACAACGUCAUCAGCCCUUUCGCGACAGAAGGCCUACGAUAAACCCGACCCUCCAAAGACUUCAUGCAGCUCUUAUUACUCAUCCAACUCCCAUUACACCGAGGCCAUUGCUGACUGCAUUGAGUUCUUCAAUAAGGAGGGCAUUUUGGAUGGCCGCAAAUCUGAUGUUGUGGUCUGAUCGAUGAUCAAUUGAUCAUCAUCAUCAUCAUCAUCAUAAUCAUCAUACUGCUCUUUCUACACGUACGGUUUCAUGGGUGUUGUGAUUCAGUUUACUUGUUUUGCUUUUGGUUCCAAGCUUUUUAUGUACACAUUUGGGGGUUUUAGGUGUUUGAUUUGUUAGCUUCUUCCUCUCUUAAGUUUGUGGGCUCUGUUCACAUGCAGUACAAAUACAUGUUUUGUGCUUACAGCCAUUGAGGUGUAAAAAUGGAAAAUAAUUAUCUUCAUAUGAGGGGGAGUGCUUUUGCGGUUUUGCCUAUUUUCUACCUUGGGCCUAUUGGGUCAAUAGCUCCUUCUGGAAGCUGGCCCAAAGUGGAACCCAUGGGCCGUAGGUUUCUCUGGCAGUUGCAGUAUAUGCUUUCCCCUACACCAAGGGGGUAUCAUAUCCUGUGAGGAACAUGUGCACAAGCGUGUCUUUAACAAGACUACUUGUUUUUCAAGAAACCAUGAUUUCAUCAGAAGCAAGCAAGAGACCAAUCCCCACUUAGUUAGCAGCAAGUCCAUCUACAGUGAAAUGGAAUUUUUUUUAUUUUUCAUUAUGGUUUCUAUCAUAUUUUCUUAGAUGCCUCCUCAAUGGAAACAACAUUGGCCAACUAUGGCUAGAGUAGUAACGAGUUCAAAGGGAAAUUUUGGGGGAAAAAAGAAAGGUAAAACGGUUGGGUGGUGAUUAUUGGGAUGAAUGAGGUAAGACUUAUGGAGUGGCUGGUGAGCCGACUUGAGGGCUUCCUCUUCUCUUAGAGAAAAGGCCUCCUAUGAGAGGGAUGAGCGGCUUUUUUUUCUUCUUUUUAAGAGAAGGGUGUCUCUCUAGUACUGCCCUGCCUUGUGGUACAACGAAUUGAGGUACUGAUGGUGGAUUUGCGAAGGUUACGUAUCUCUUCUUUUGAAACUCAGUACUUGUUUCUUCUUCGCUAGUCCUGUUUUGUGUUUUCACCUCAACCACCUUUGCUGAAUCUUCAACAAACUUGACAUCCUCAAUUUCUGACUCCAUCACUAGCCGUUUCUCGGACUCUCGCUCCUUCAAUUGUUCCAGCUCUAGCUUUGUCCGUUCAAGCUCUUCCUUGAGAGAAGAGAGGCAAUUCGCCAUCAGCGUGCCUUCUUCUUUUGCUUUUUCGAGGCUAUACUUUGUCUCUUCUAGCUCCGCCACCACUGUUCCAAGCUUGGACUGGCUUUCGCUAUGUCCGUCGUGCAUCUGCACAUUAAUCAAACAAACAAAUCAUUUCUUAGCCAUCAAACACCAUACAAUAAAACUUGGAUUAUGAAAUUCCUAUAUCAAAAUAAGCGAGAAUAUGGACUGUUACGGAUGGAUUAAUUAUGUGUUUAUUUAUUAUACGUGGGGUAUGAACAAUGGAUGGUUGCUUGUGACCCCUCCCAAUGUCACAGGGUUUGGCAUCUCUUCACCGAAAGCCAAAGAGAUUGAUUCCCAUUUUCCCAAUAAAGUUGAGUUAAAUAAUUGCUUGUAAGUACUAAAAACUAUUUGUUUAUUUGUUUAUAUACCUUUACCCCGUCAGACACAUGACCACCACAGACAGCCACUGUGGCAGCAUUUUCAGGGUCGACCCACAUACUGUAAGUAAACUUGCACUCUCUCUGAAGCAAACAUUAUUUUUCACGGUAUUCUUUUGGACCUUAUGCACCCAUAACUAAUUACUCAGAAGAAUUAACAAAUUUAAUGGCGAAUGAUUUUAAUCUUGAAAGCGUCGACACUACUUGACGAUUUUUCUUGAAAAUGAGAACAAACUUUCAUGUGAUAACAAAUGAAUGAGAGGAAUGUAGCAAUUAAUCCCAGAAUGGCCGAUGUGUAGUCAAAGCUAUCGUAUAUGAAAUAAGCAGAGAAUGAACUAGGGAGUAAAAGGUGAUCACCUCUUUGAUUUUAUUAGAGGCAUAAACCUCCCCAGCUAGAACUCUCUCCCCGAACAAUACUACGGCCUCCUUCACCGAUCGGAAUGGCGCCCUCGUGUCGAUCUCCGCCCUUCUGAUCAUCACCACUCCAUCUUCGCCCUCCAUGCUCUACCUACUUACGCACUUUCCAAGGAAAGAGAAGGGGAGAAAUUCUGGGAAUAAGAUGGCAAAACCAACAAGAAGGUUGUCCUUAGUUUUAAAUUUCAGAGAAGGGAUAAAGAGGGGUGGUUACAAGUAGGAGUGAUUUGGUGCGGGCGAUGUUGUAUACUUAUAUAUAUAAGAAAAAUGAAAAAUAAUUGGGGUGGAGCUUCGUUACUUCGCGUUCACUUCACUAGAAUUCUGUUAUGUUUGAAGGUGAAGCCGGUGAGGAUAUCUGCAUACAUGGUCCCUUAUUGUUUAUUUAUAUGGCCAUAGAGUGGGACGCUUCACCUAUAUGUAUAUAACUGAGCCUCUCAUAUGCCAUAACCUCUUUCUGCAUGUGGGUUCCAUCUAAGCAUGAUAACUUUGCUCCACAGGUCCAACUGAGUUACCUUUGAGGCAUGACUUAAUAUUCCUCCAAAAGUAUUUGAUGGGUUUGCUAUAGAAAUGCCCAAAACAAAAAUUUUAGGUACCCACAUCCAAUUGAAGUUGAUCUACUCGAUUUCUUUUCAUGCUUUAUGUUAUUUAUAUCUGUUUUACAGGACAAACCAUAUGCUCAUUAAAAACUACUUGGAGUACGGGUGAAGGAGCUUGAGCUCAUUCAUACUCUAUGGCAGUCAAGUGACUUGCCCAUAACCCUAGCACAACCUUCAGAUUAGUAAUUCCAUACAACUUGGUAUUGGCCUAUAGUUACUGUUUACAACUAUAUAUAAUUAAGGUUUUCCUAUGGUCAUUUUAUUAAAUUGUAAAGCUUGAAUCAAUUUUAUUACGUUUUACUUUAGAUGUCGAGGAUCGAUCGGCCUGGUUAGCUCGAAAGGGUUGAAGGAGCAACGAUCUUUAGAAAUUCUUUUUAAGUGAUGAUUAGUAGGUUUGUUCCUAUUAUAUAUUUUAACUUUUUUAUGUUAUAGGGUUUUGAUAUAUAUAUUUUUUUAAGAGUGCGAUCAUAAUUGAGAGAUUUUUUUAGAGUUUCCCCAUCAUACUUCUUUUUAUUCCUUUUUAUGAGUGGAUUCUUAAGUGUUGCUAUACUUUAUGUACAUAUGGACGACGUUACAUUAUAGUUUUUACCUGAUGACUUAUCUCAUUCUCAAUGAAUUCCAUAAAUUUUUUUAGAUUUCUCGUUCAAAAAUAGAAACAACAACAAUAAAAUCAUACAUUUGGAUUAGAUUUACUAAAAAGUUUUCAAAAUUCAACGUCUUAAAAUAAAGUUGAAAUAAAAUCACUAUCACUAAUUCUAAUGAAAAUUUUAAAAUAUAAUUCAUACUCAUCUAAAUAUUUACUUAAAUAGAAAAUUCAGUUAAUUUUGAAAAUUAAAAAGUUAAAAUUUGAUACUCUCUCUCAAACAUUUGAAAAUACUAAAAUUAAUGAAUUAAUCUCAAUAAUUAGGUCCACAAUUCAACCACAAAUCCAUGAAUCCAAAUAUACACCACAUAAAAACCAUUGAAUAUUUAAUGAAAUUUAACCAAAAAAAUUUCAAACAUUUUGUUAGCAACCAAUAAAAUAAUUAGAAGUUGUAAUUACUAUCUAAUUAAUAGUUUUCUAAUGAGUUUUAUUAAUGUAAUAAAUUAUGGUAUUGAUAUUUAGAGAUACAUUAAUUUUUUUUUGAAAUUACAAGUUUUUGAAUUUCUUUAUCUUAAUCAUAUAAAAUAAAAUAAAUGUAAUAAUUAAUCAUGUUUUUAAUAUAUAAAAUAAAUAUAUUUAAAACUUAAUAGUGUUCAAAUAUUAAUAGAAAAUAAACAACUUAACCUUUAAUAACAUUCAUAUAUCAAUAAAAACAGUUAGAGUGUGUUUGGUAGUGAUUUUAAGAAGCGUUUCUAACAUUUUUAAUACUUCAAAGAUAAAAAUUUUCAAAUACUAGAAAGACUAUAAACACUUCCUAAAAUUAUUGUCAAACGCAUUCUUAAUAACAUCCAAUUUUAUUCAAAUUUUAGUCGAAUUCAAGUCUUAAGAUUUUAGACAAAAAAAAAAAAAAAAAUUGGAUAUUGGUGGAACAUCUACAAUGGUGACCAGCAUAUUGAUAAUCUCUUCUACCCUUUCUCCAUUGUCAUUGAAACUCACAAGGAAUAAUUAUGGUUUUUGAUGCUCACAAGUUCUUCUUGCUAUGCAAGCCUAGGAAUUUGAAGGUUAUUUACUAAGAACAAUGUUUUAUCCCCUUUGUUUUAUUGUAAUUAGAGAUGAUGAUUCUUCUAUAAUCCAUCUAAACUUUGUGACCUAGAUUAGAACAUAUCGACUCAUCUUGAGUUGACUUCUUUCUUCUCUAUUUAAGUCAAUGAUUGCUAUGUUUUUCAUUGUAAUACUAAUAUUAACACAUGGUGUACUUUUGAUCAUUUAUUCAUCACCAACUCUAAAUAUCAAGUUCAACAUCUUUAAAAUAAGUUGCAAGAAGUUUUAAAAGGCUAUUUGAGUAUUAUUGAUUAUUUUAUGUUAUAAAAGAGCUUGCAUAUACUUUGUUUACAAUUGAUGAGCCUAUUAUUGAUAAUAAGUUGCUAAUGUAUAUCUUUGGUGAGUUAGAUAAUGAAUUUCGUUCUUGUCAUUAUAGUAAAAUUAAUCAAGCGAAUCUAAGGUUGUGUUUGUUUUUUUUACUUAAUUCUAAAUAGAACCUUAAUGCUUAAUAAUGUUAAAUAUUAUGUUGUUUGUUUUUGUAGUAUUUUAUUUUUAUUAAGUAUUAAAAAAUAAAGAAAAAUUAAUAUGUUAUUUUUUCUAUUUAUAAAAAGUUAUAUAUUUUGGUUUUUUCUAUUUAGUAAAAUAUUUAUAAUAAGUUAUUAAAAAGUAGAAAAACAAAUAACAUAAAUUCUGAAAACAAAUUACCUUUAGUAAAAAAACCAAAAAAACAAAUACUGCCUAACUCUUUGAAUAAAACUUUUGAUCCUCUGGAAUCAUGCAUUGUGAUAUUUGGGAUUCUUCACCCAAUUUAUCUACAAGGAGUUAUUGAUAUUACAUUCACCUUAUUGAUGAUUUUAGUCAUCAUACUUGGAUCUUUCCAAUGAAGUUAAAAUUUAAAACUAAAGGAAUUUAUAGUGGUAAAUGUAGGUCUAACAUGAUGUGAUUUUCAGACAACAAAAAGAUAGACAUAUAGAUGAGGUUGGAUUGACACUCAUGCCACACAUGACUUUUUCCUUUUAAUGCUUUUGUCAUUACUAUAUAUUUCAUUAAUAGGUUGUCUGCUCAGGUUCUUAAUCAUCUCUCACCCUUGGAAUCUUUGUAUCACAAAAGAAAAAAAAAAUCUUAAUCAUUUUUUGCAAAUUCUCAUAAAAACUUUGGUGUUUUUUUUGUAUAAUAUUUUGAAAAAUAAAUAAGAAUGUGAAGAAUAAUUAAUAAACUUUUGCAUCCAACAUAAAAUAGACAACCCUCACCCAUAAUGAAUCGAGAACCUUGAAUCAUUAUUUAAAUUCUUAAAUAAAAUUUUGUUCUUGAUUACAAUUAAAAAUUAUUUUUAAAAUAUUCCCUCCUCGUAUGCUUGAUUGUGUGCCACCAAACUCCCACUUCAAGUGCCUUGCGUUAGCCCUCAGGUGAGGGGUGGGAGCAAAAGAUGUGCUCGAAUUAGGUGGUUCGACUUACAUGGGACAGAUCAGGGCCUCAAAUCAGUCCUGCUGCUGCCUCUAUCCUCACCCAAGGGGCAAUUACAGCAAGCAUUAUUCACAAAGUUAGUGCAGUGGGUGGGUUUGUUCUCCUCAAUACAUGAUUAAACUCCAAAACCGUAGGACAGGGCAGCCCAGAGCCCACUAAAAUUGGAACGUUAAUGGGAAUAUGAAACAGGACAAAUUUGAGCCAAUGUGGUGUACAGGUAUCCUAGUCCCAAUCAAGGUUUGAAAAAUCGAUGGUUGAAACAAUAUAGGUCAUCGAUAAUCAGUUUGACAAAAAAUGCCAAAAUAUUGAAAAAAUCAGUCGAAAACUUUUCGAUUUUGAAGUGAAAAAUCGAGUGUGGGAGCGAUGGGCCCGUGGCGAUCUGAAAAAUCAACAAUUCAAAAUAAUCAGUGAUUUAUAUAUAUAUAUAUAUAUAUAUAUAUAUAUAUAUAUAUAUAUAUAUAUAUAUAUUAAUUAUUUUGUGAACCCCGUAUUUCGGCUCAAUGCGUUUCCCACUCGAUGGCGAGCUCGAUUUUGAUUUUGAAAAAUGAUUUAAUUGGUUAAAAAAAAUGACUUGGAGUCGCCACUUAUUUUUGUUUUAUUUUUAAAAGGGUAAACAAAAUAAGAAAGAAAACCCUAAUUGCGACUCCUGGUUUUGGAAAAGGUGAUCUACGAAAAACCGGAUCGGGCUCGGGGGUCAGGUUACUUAUCGGGAAGGUACGGUGAAGACCAUAGCACCCCUCUAAGCCCCUAGAGGUCGGGUCUCUACUAAUAAAAUGAAGUUGUUGUGGCAAUUAAUGUGGAGAUCAAUGAAUACUCAGGAUGAUCAUGCACGUGAGGGAAUCAAAACAUUCAAUAAAGAAUCGACUGAAGUGAGAAUGGGGCAUACCUUGGCAUCAAUCGAUCAAUGCGCGAGCUUAAGGUGAUCUUUCCUGAUGAUCCACAAUGCAACCUUCCUCUGCUUUUCCUCCUUUGAUCAUCCCAGAAAAAUAUCUUCUAAGCUACCUCGGAAAAACCCGUCUGCUUCCUCCACGAACUUGAGAAAUAUCUCAGUAAGCUCACGCUUGAAAAUCCCUCCUCCCCCUCCUUGCCUUCCUCUUCUUUUCUUAUCUAGCCUCCUCCUCCCUUCCUCUGUUCGUGUCUUCCUCAACAAGCCAACCUUCCCUUCCUGUUCAUCACAUCAGCAAGCAUGGGCUUGCAACCACUCUCUCUGCUGCUGCACGUCUCAUGCAGACGGCAUCCCACCUCAGCUAGGGGUCCCCUACCCCUUCUAACAAUAUCCUGAAAAUCCCAGAAGAAAAGAAAGAAAAAAAACCAACCCUCCGGGUCCUCCCCACCAAAGGGGGUCUACAAAUAUGCCCCUCUUCGGUAGAGCUCAUGAGUGUAAGGAAUGUGAACACUGGAGUGAAAAGCAAGUGUGAGUAAUGAGUGGGAUGAAAUGAGCUCUAUCGAAGAACAAAGGAGACCCCCAAAAGGACACCCAAUGAAGCACAGACUUACUCAGGUCAAUAGACGAACACAAAGGCUCUAAUCCUAAAAGAAAACAUAUCUCAAAGCGCCUCUGAAGCCACACUAAGGACCCAAUCUCUCUCUAAGAUGUCUCCAAAAGUGACCCAAGAGAUCAAUGUCAAAGAUGAGUAACGGUCGAACCACCCUGGAGUACGAGAUGAAUAUGCGAUAAGCACCGGGUAACGAAGUGAGGAAAGCCGAGGACGAAUGCAAAACCCUAAAGGUAAGAUGUGCAAUGCCAGUGGAUAUGAACACUAGGAGCUGCGACUCUGAAUGACAAGACUGACUCUAAACGCUAAACUAGAAAAUAAAGCUCUGGAAGCCAAACCAAAAAGCUAACUCUAAACUGCUAAACUGAGAAAAUAACGGCUUUGGAAGCCAAACCAAAAACUAGCCCUAAAAGCUAAACUAGAAAAUAACAGCUCUGGAAACCACUAACUUUAAAAGCUAAACUAGAAAAUAACAACUCUGGAAGCCAAACAAAAACUAACUUUAAAAGCUAAACUAGAAAAUAACAGCUCUGGAAGCCUAAACAAGACGAUAGUGAUGGCUCUGGAAGCCUAAACAAGAUGAUAGUGAUGACUCUGGAAGCCUAAACGAGAUGACAGUGAUGACUCUGGAAGCCUAAUCGAAACGACAGUGAUGGCUCUGGAAGCCUAAACGAGACGACAGUGAUGGCUUUGGAAGCCUAAACGAGACGAUAGUGAUGGCUCUGGCAGCCUAAACGAGACGAUAGAAAUGGCUCUGGAAGCCUAAACAAGAUGACAGUAAUGACUCUAGAAGCCUAAACGAGAUGGCAGAAAUGGCUCUGGAAGCCUAAACAAGACGAUAGUGAUGGAUCUGGAAGCCUAGAUGAGACGACAGUGAUGGCUCUAGAAGCCUAAACAAGACGAUAGUGAUGGCUCUGGAAGCCUAAACAAGACGACAGUGAUGGCUCUGGAAGCCUAAACAAGACGAUAGUGAUGGCUCUGGAAGCCUAAAUGAGACGACAGUGAUGGCUCUGGAAGCCACACUGAAAAUAGUGAUGAUGGCUCUGAACGCCAAACUGAAAAUAGUGAUGGCUCUGAACACCCAAACUGAGAAGCGAUGAUGGCUUUGAACGCCAAACUGAAAAGCGAUGAUGGCUCUGAACGCCAAAACUGAGAAGUGAUGAAGAUGGCUAUGAACGUCGAAACUGAGGAUGCGACUUUGAAUGUCGAUCUGAAAACCGAUGAUGGCUCUGAACGCCGAAACUAAAAAGUAAUGUAGAUGACCAUGAACGUCAAACUGAGAAGUGAUAGCGACUCUGAACGUUGAAACCGAGGAUGCGACUCUGAAUGUCGAUCUGAAAACCGAUGAUGGCUCUGAACGCCGAACUGAAAACACGGUGAUGGCUCUGAACGCCGAAACCUAAAAGUGAUGAUGGCUCUGAAUGUUGAACUGAAAAGAAAAAAAUAAAAUAAUAAUAAUAAUAGCUCUGGAAGCCAAAUCAAAAAGCUAACUCUAAAUACUAAACUAGAAGAAUAAUGGCUCUGGAAGCCAAACAAAAAAAACUAACUCUAAAUGAUAAACUGAGAAAAUAAUAGCUCUGAAAGCCAAACCAAAAAGCUAACUCUAAACACUAAACUAUAAGGCCCAUAGGUGAAGACCUACGGUGGUGAUAAAUCUGAACAAAGGGAGAUGCCCUAAGCGAACUGACGGUAGGGGAAUGCCCUAAACAAACUGAAAAUAGGGGGAUGCCCUAAACAGACCAAAAAUAGGAGGAUGCCCUAAACAAGAUGACGGUAGGGGGAUGCCCUAAACAAAAUAAUAGUAGAGGGAUGCCCCAAACGUAAAUAACAGUGGGGAGAUGCCCCAAACAAAAUGACAGUGGGGGGAUGCCCCAAACGAAAUGACAGUGGGGGGAUGCCCCUAACGAAAUGACAAUGGGGGGGAUGCCCCAAACGUAAAUGACAGUGGGGGAUGCCCCAAACGUAAAUACAGUGGGGGAUGCCCCAAACGUAAAUACAGUGGGGGAUGCCCUAACGAAAUGACAAUGGGGGGAUGCCCCAAACGUAAAUGACAGUGGGGGGAUGCCCCUAACGAAAUGACAAUGGGGGGAUGCCCCAAACGUAAAUGACAGUGGGGGAUGCCCCAAACAUAAAUACAGUGGGGGGAUGCCCCUAACGAAAUGACAAUGGGGGGAUGCCCCAAACGUAAAUGACAGUGGGGGGGAUGCCCCAGUAUGACGACUCGCAAAGAUCCGGAUGUGG
rnacentral:lncRNA from 1 species